UACGUAGGGGGCAAGCGUUGUCCGGAAUCAUUGGGCGUAAAGAGCGUGUAGGCGGUCCGGUUAGUCGGCUGUGAAAGUCCAGGGCUCAACCCUGGGAUGCCGGUGGAAACUGUCGGGCUAGAGUCCGGAAGGGGCGAGUGGAAUUCCUGGUGUAGCGGUGAAAUGCGCAGAUAUCAGGAGGAACACCAAUGGCGAAGGCAGCUCGCUGGAACGGUACUGACGCUGAGGCGCGAAAGCGUGGGGAGCGAACAGG
rnacentral:rRNA from 1 species